GUAGGUGGCAAGCGUUGUCCGGAAUUAUUGGGCGUAAAGCGCGCGCAGGCGGUUCUUUAGGUCUGAUGUGAAAGCCCACGGCUCAACCGUGGAGGGUCAUUGGAAACUGGAGAACUUGAGUACAGAAGAGGAAAGCGGAAUUCCACGUGUAGCGGUGAAAUGCGUAGAGAUGUGGAGGAACACCAGUGGCGAAGGCGGCUUUCUGGUCUGUAACUGACGCUGAGGCGCGAAAGCGUGGGGAGCAAACAGGAUUAGAUACCCUGGUAGUCCACGCCGUAAACGAUGAGUGCUAAGUGUUAGGGGGGUUUCCGCCCCCCUUAGUGCUGCAGCUAACGCAUUAAGCACUCCGCCCUGGGAGUACGGCCGCAAGGCUG
rnacentral:rRNA from 1 species